CUAGACUUCUUUGAGAAUCUGGCAGAUGACAGAGAUGUAUUUACAGUCAUGGUAGCAAAACAUAGAAGCAUGCAGACCAUGUUUUACUCUCACCAAAAUGUGUUUCUCUGUCACAACCACAAACCACCCCUAAAUGGGAACUAAGUCAAUUAAUACUUUUGUCUGACAAGCAACCACUAUUAGAUUUAUUUUAUGAUGUUGACAUCUUUCUGCCAGUCAAAAUAUAAACAGAAUAGUUCAAAUGGUCAGGUUUGGUAAUAUUAUCAGAACCUCAGUGCAGCAUGGUAAUAAAGUUCAUGGGCAUGAUAGCCUACGGUGACACACAUCCUUUACUGUUACUGAAAGAAGGAUUGAUGGGCCACACAGCCCAGCAAAAGAUAUCGUGAGUCCAUCAGUGCUGAAUCAUUGAACAGAAUAAAGCCUUGUGUGCUGCCCCAAGAAAACAGACUUGAAACACAAUGUGCCAUCUCUCCAUGACUGUCAUGGGAACAAUUCUUAGCACUAAAACCAUGACUUAUCUGGCCCAUGUUGACCAGUUCUCACCCCAGAGCUACUCCUUUGAUGUGGCUCUCAAAACCACAAAUAUUCCCAAGAGGAAUCAAAACAACACAGCACCAAAAAUUCAGUAUAAAUGCUUUUAGCCACUCUCAAAUGCCAAUAUUCAGUAGGAAGCCUUGUUGCUCUGGGUGUGGAUAGUUUGAGAAGAAAGGUGGAAAAAAAAAUCACAAAUUGCCUUCAAGAUAUGACAUGAUGACACAAGUGGUGAAAGUUAAUUUUUAACUG
rnacentral:lncRNA from 1 species